UAGGGAAUCUUCGGCAAUGGGGGGAACCCUGACCGAGCAACGCCGCGUGAGUGAAGAAGGUUUUCGGAUCGUAAAGCUCUGUUGUUAAGGAAGAACGAGUGUGAGAAUGGAAAGUUCAUACUGUGACGGUACUUAACCAGAAAGGGACGGCUAACUACGUGCCAGCAGCCGCGGUAAUACGUAGGUCCCGAGCGUUGUCCGGAUUUAUUGGGCGUAAAGCGAGCGCAGGCGGUUGGAUAAGUCUGAAGUUAAAGGCGGUGGCUCAACCAUUGUAGGCUUUGGAAACUGUUAAACUUGAGUGCAGAAGGGGAGAGUGGAAUUCCAUGUGUAACGGUGAAAUGCGUAGAUAUAUGGAGGAACACCGGUGGCGAAAGCGGCUCUCUGGUCUGUAACUGACGCUGAGGCUCGAAAGCGUGGGGAGCGAACAGG
rnacentral:rRNA from 1 species